AUUGAACGCUGGCGGCAGGCUUAACACAUGCAAGUCGAACGAGUGGCGGACGGGUGAGUAAUGCUGGGGAAUCUCGCUUAUGGGGGGGGAUAACUACGGGAAACUGUAGCAAAUACCACGUACCAGAGGAUGAGCACAUGUGGGAUUAGGUAGUUGGUGAGGUAAAGGCUCACCAAGCCGACUCUCUCUAGCUGGUCUGAGAGGAUGACCAGCCACACUGGAACUGAGACACGGCCCAGACUCCUACGGGAGGCAGCAGUGGGGAAUAUUGCGCAAUGGGGGCAACCCUGACGCAGCCAUGCCGCGUGAAUGAAGAAGGCCUUCGGGUUGUAAAGUACUUUCAGCGGGGAGGCGUUACCCGCAGAAGAAGCACCGGCUAACUCCGUGCCAGCAGCCGCGGUAAUAC
rnacentral:rRNA from 1 species